CUUGGUCAUUUAGAGGAAGUAAAGUCGUAACAGGUCUCCGAUGGUGAACCAGCGGAGGGAUCAUUACCGAGUUUACAACUCCCAAACCCCUGUGAACAUACCUUACUGUUGCCUCGGCGGAUCAGCCCGCUCCCGGUAAAACGGGACGGCCCGCCAGAGGACCCCUAAACUCUGUUUCUAUAUGUAACUUCUGAGUAAAACCAUAAAUAAAUCAAAACUUUCAACAACGGAUCUCUUGGUUCUGGCAUCGAUGAAGAACGCAGCAAAUGCGAUAAGUAAUGUGAAUUGCAGAAUUCAGUGAAUCAUCGAAUCUUUGAACGCACAUUGCGCCCGCCAGUAUUCUGGCGGGCAUGCCUGUUCGAGCGUCAUUUCAACCCUCAAGCCCUCGGGUUUGGUGUUGGGGAUCGGCGAGCCUUUCUGGCAAGCCGGCCCCGAAAUCUAGUGGCGGUCUCGCUGCAGCCUCCAUUGCGUAGUAGUAAAACCCUCGCAACUGGAACGCGGCGCGGCCAAGCCGUUAAACCCCCAACUUCUGAAUGUUGACCUCGGAUCAGGUAGGAAUACCCGCUGAACUUAAGCAUAUCAUAAGCG
rnacentral:rRNA from 1 species